rnacentral:rRNA from 1 species
GACGGGGGAUGCAAGUGUUAUCCGGAAUCACUGGGCGUAAAACGUCUGCAGGUGGUUUCCUAAGUCCACUGUUAAACCUUGAGGCUCAACCUCAAAUCUGCAUUGGAAACUAGGAGACUUGAGUAUAGUAGGGGUAGAGGGAAUUUCCAGUGGAGCGGUGAAAUGCGUAGAUAUUGGAAAGAACACCGAUGGCGAAGGCACUCUACUGGGCUAUUACUGACACUCAGAGACGAAAGCUAGGGGAGCAAAUGGG